AAGACUAUACUUUCAGGGAUCAUUUCUAUAGUUUCGGCUACACUUCUCUAGUUACAAAGUGUCUGACCUCUCUAACCACGAGGAGUUAAAGUGUUCUCUUCUGAGCGUGAAGCGAGCAGACAGUGCUGCUUUAAUGCAGCUGCUGUCUGUUAUUGAUGACCGUUACUUCUUUGCUUUUGGGAAGCUGGAAGGGAGAGAGCACUGACUGA
rfam:Chelonia mydas contig208569, whole genome shotgun sequence.